rnacentral:ncRNA from 7 species
GCCGAGCUCUGUUACUCAGUUGGUAGAGCUCAAGGCUUUUAACCUUGUGGUUGUGGGUUCAAGCCCCAUGAUAGGCA